UACGUAGGGGGCAAGCGUUGUCCGGAAUUAUUGGGCGUAAAGCGCGCGUAGGCGGCCCGAUAAGUCUGCUGUGAAAGUCCAGGGCUCAACCCUGGAAUGCCGGUGGAUACUGUCGGGCUAGAGUUCGGAAGAGGCAAGUGGAAUUCCUGGUGUAGCGGUGGAAUGCGCAGAUAUCAGGAGGAACACCUAUAGCGAAGGCAGCUUGCUGGGACGACACUGACGCUAAGGCGCGAAAGCGUGGGGAGCGAACAGG
rnacentral:rRNA from 1 species